UAAGAAAUUAGUUAAUUUUUAUAACACUAGUUUGUCAUGCUAGAGUAGUCCUAAGGAUAUUUCUUAA
rnacentral:tRNA from 1 species